UACGUAGGGGGCGAGCGUUGUCCGGAAUCAUUGGGCGUAAAGCGCGUGUAGGCGGCUCGAUAAGUCCGGUGUGAAACCUUGGGGCUCAACCCCAAGCCUGCACUGGAUACUGCCGAGCUAGAGUCCGGGAGGGGAGAGCGGAAUCCUAGUGUAGCGGUGAAAUGCGCAGAUAUUAGGAAGAACACCGGUGGCGAAGGCGGCUCUCUGGGCAGUAACUGACGCUGAGGAGCGGAAAGCGAUGG
rnacentral:rRNA from 1 species